AGCACCACAACGGGUGGAGCUUGCGGUUUAAUUGGAUUCAACGCCGGAAAUCUUACCGGGACCGACAGCAAUAUGAAGGCCAGGCUGAAGACUUUGCCGGAUUAGCUGAGAGGUGGUGCACGGCCGUCGUCAGUUCGUACUGUGAAGCAUCCUGUUAAGUCAGGCAACGAGCGAGACCCACGCCCACAGUUGCCAGCGUACUCUCUGGAGUGACGGGUACACUGUGGGGACCGCCGCUGCUAAAGCGGAGGAAGGAAUGGGCAACGGUAGGUCAGUAUGCCCCGAAUAUCCCGGGCUACACGCGAGCUACAAUGGUUGGUACAAUGGGUAUCUACCCUGAAAGGGGACGGGAAUCUCCUAAAACCAAUCUUAGUUCGGAUUGAGGGCUGCAACUCGCCCUCAUGAAGCUGGAAUCCGUAGUAAUCGCGUUUCAACAGAACGCGGUGAAUACGUCCCUGCUCCUU
rnacentral:rRNA from 1 species